GGAGUUAGCCGGUGCUUCUUCUGUGAGUGAUGUCCUUCCUGCCGGCUAUUAACCCGCAGGCCUUCUUCCUCACUGAAAGUGCUUUACAACCCGAAGGCCUUCUUCACACACGCGGCAUGGCUGGAUCAGGGUUGCCCCCAUUGUCCAAUAUUCCCCACUGCUGCCUCCCGUAGGAGUCUGGGCCGUGUCUCAGUCCCAGUGUGGCUGAUCAUCCUCUCAGACCAGCUACGGAUCGUCGCCUUGGUGAGCCGUUACCUCACCAACCAGCUAAUCCGACAUAGGCUCAUCCGAUAGCGCGAGGCCCGAAGGUCCCCCGCUUUCCCCCGUAGGGCGUAUGCGGUAUUAGCCUGGGUUUCCCCAGGUUAUCCCCCACUACCGGGCAGAUUCCUAUGCAUUACUCACCCGUCCGCCUCUCGCCACCAGGGAGCAAGCUCCCCGUGCUGCCGCUCGACUUGCAUGUGUUAGGCCUGCCGCCAGCGUUCAAUCUGAGCCAGAAUCGAACCCUGA
rnacentral:rRNA from 1 species